rnacentral:rRNA from 1 species
UACAGAGGUCUCAAGCGUUGUUCGGAUUCAUUGGGCGUAAAGGGUGCGUAGGCGGCGCGGUAAGUCGGGUGUGAAAUCUCGGAGCUUAACUCCGAAACUGCAUUCGAUACUGCCGUGCUUGAGGACUGGAGAGGAGACUGGAAUUUACGGUGUAGCGGUGAAAUGCGUAGAUAUCGUAAGGAAGACCAGUGGCGAAGCCGGGCCUCUGGACAGUUCCUGACGCUGAGGCACGAAGGUCAGGGGAGCAAACGGG